CUCCUGAUUGAUAAACAUUUGAGUGAGUGGCGGACGGGUGAGUAACACGUGGGUAACCUGCCCUAAAGUGGGGGAUAACAUUUGGAAACAGAUGCUAAUACCGCAUAAAACCUAACACCGCAUGGUGUAGGGUUGAAAGAUGGUUUCGGCUAUCACUUUAGGAUGGACCCGCGGUGCAUUAGUUAGUUGGUGAGGUAAAGGCUCACCAAGACCGUGAUGCAUAGCCGACCUGAGAGGGUAAUCGGCCACACUGGGACUGAGACACGGCCCAGACUCCUACGGGAGGCAGCAGUAGGGAAUCUUCCACAAUGGACGAAAGUCUGAUGGAGCAACGCCGCGUGAGUGAAGAAGGUUUUCGGAUCGUAAAACUCUGUUGUUGGAGAAGAAUGUAUCUGAUAGUAACUGAUCAGGUAGUGACGGUAUCCAACCAGAAAGCCACGGCUAACUACGUGCCAGCAGCCGCGGUAAUACGUAGGUGGCAAGCGUUGUCCGGAUUUAUUGGGCGUAAAGCGAGCGCAG
rnacentral:rRNA from 1 species